AGACUUCCGGGGACAGCGCCAGCGGCUAAUGGCGGAGUUCCUCUAAGUGGAGGAACUAGCUCCGCGAAAACUGGGUCGCCCGCCACGGCGAAGGCGGGGACCCGUCAGAAAUCUAAGGUGGAAGAAGCCUGGGAACGUGGGGGUUCGGCAGGGCACCUGGAGCGCCCCCCUACUCGUGGGGAAUCCUUUUUAAGGGCUCCAGAGCGAAGUGGGGUGAGCGGCGCGGUGCUGCGAACUGAAUGCUACUUUCAUGGAGUGAAGCCGCACAGCCAUUGUCGGGGAGCGCUGACCUUUUUCCUGUGGACAUUUGGAUCUAAAGUAACUACCUGUGAGUAAAGUGAAGGAAUUGGACUUUUAACAAGCUGAAUUUGGCUACGAAUGGGGGAGGCGUAAAACAGGAAGUCCGCCUUCCUUUCUUUGUAAAUAGUGGGAAGCAAGGAGUUUUAAACUAAAGCCUGAAAGACUGCUUUUGACAUCUAAAUUUUCAGUAUAAAACUAGCGAACCCCCCCUUGGCUGCAGGGGAAAAGGGGGGGACUUCUGGACAUUAUUUCCCUGCAGAAAAAGAGGGUAAAAGUUAACGUUUCACCGCUCGGAACCUGGGAACGGCAGCCAUUAAAAUUGCUGCAUUGUGGAGCUCCGCAUUGACUGCGAAUAGACUAUCUAACUGUCAGUGAGUGAAACAUUGUUUCAAUUAUUUUCUCUUGGCUUAAAAGUUUCAACUAUGUUUCUGAACUAAAGUUUGAUAUUAAACAUACUGGCAUAAUUUGUUAGAGUAACUUUAAAGAGAAAAAUAAAAAGAAAAGGAUACUUUGGACUAAUAUAAGAUAAACAACAACUACUUCCCUCUAGAGGAGGACUUUGAAACGCUUAUCAGGAGUGGAAUUUUCCAGUUUUAAAGACAAAACCCUGGGAAUUGUACCUGACCUUGAGAGCCUUGAGUGUUAUGGCAGAUGGGAAGGAAAAAAUAGACUCAUUAC